rnacentral:rRNA from 1 species
UAUGUAGGGUGCGAGCGUUGUCCGGAAUUAUUGGGCGUAAAGGGCUCGUAGGCGGUCUGUCACGUCAGGAGUGAAAACUCGGGGCUCAACCCCGAGCCUGCUUCUGAUACGGGCAGACUGGAGGUAUGCAGGGGAGAACGGAAUUCCUGGUGUAGCGGUGAAAUGCGCAGAUAUCAGGAGGAACACCGAUGGCGAAGGCAGUUCUCUGGGCCGUAACUGACGCUGAGGAGCGAAAGCGUGGGGAGCGAACAGG